AAUCUAGUCUUAUUUCCUAACCUUGCUUUUUGUAACUUUUUUAAUGCCAGUUCGACAUCUUUCAAUCUUUGUUGAAGUUGCUGAAUUCUAAUAGCUAACAAUUCUUCCCUUGUCAAUCCAUCUUCCUAUGGUAGUAUACUCCAAGUUAGCAUAUUUUCUUCAAUUAACAUAAUUGGUUUUUCACCUAUCAUAAGUUCCACUGGCAUAUAUCUUGUCACCGAACUAUGUGUUAUUCAAUCAAUCCAUAAUGCAUAAGGUAAAAGUCGAGGCUAUUCUCUCACUCUUCCAUUGCAAGCUUUAACUAAGGCUUAUAUUAUUGGUGGAUGCCCACGUUCACUCUUUGCAUUUCCUUCUAGAU
rnacentral:lncRNA from 1 species